CGGACGGGUGAGUAACGCGUGGAAAACCUGCCGUAUACUGGGGGAUAACACUUAGAAAAUAGGUGCUAAUACCGCAUAAGCGCACAGCUUCGCAUGAAGCGGUGUGAAAAACUCUGGUGGUAUACGAUGGUUCCGCGUCUGAUUAGCUAGUUGGUGGGGUAAUGGCCUACCAAGGCAACGAUCAGUAGCCGGCCUGAGAGGGUGAACGGCCACAUUGGGACUGAGACACGGCCCAAACUCCUACGGGAGGCAGCAG
rnacentral:rRNA from 1 species